CCGCUCCCCCGGAGCCGCCCCGCCCCGCCUCGCGCACCCGCCGCCCCGCGCUCCGCCGCACCGCACCGCGCCGCCGCCACCGUCCGCGGGAGCGCUAGCCGAGCGCCGAGCGCCCACCCCCGCCUUAGCGGCCGGCCGGGAUCUGCCGCUCGGUUAUCGAUUGAGCGCACCUAGCGACGCCUGGAACGUUCCGGAGGUGGCAUCUAAUAUCAGCGGAGGGCGUUGGUUCUGUAGCUUCACUGGAGAAGGGAAGAGAGCGCUGAAGUUAUUCCCAUCCCUGACAAAGUCUUUGUCAUUAGUUCUAGAGUGAUUCUGGAAUUAGGGUUUAACUAAAGCGGGGUGUUCAGCUGCAGGUGGGCUCGAGACAGCUCAAAGUCAGAGCUGCACCCCUGCCUCUCUGCAAACCCGUACGGCCCGCAAAGCUAACGCGCCUCCAGUCUUGUGCGUCCCAUCUCCCAGGUGGUCACACGUUUGCUAUGAACGUACAGCGCAUUUGCCCUCGCAGUGAGCCCUCCGACAGCAGACAGACCAGCAGCGUGCUGGGGGUGAAAGGAUGUAACUGAGUACAUUCUACAAAUUUGGGGAAAGAGGGAAAAGAAAACCCUGUAAAGCACUAGAUGGUGCUGCGUACACACAGCCGGAUGCAGAUGCUCAAUAUAGUAGAGCCUUCGCUAUUUCUAAUCACUUGUUACAGAGGUUCUUGAACCAGGCACGGGUGGUUCAGAGGCAGACCAGCGCAUUUAGUCUUGCACUGGAGAAAAGUGAGACCCAGGAGAGCCCAUCGACAUGACCUGACCAGGAGGCCAGGUGGUUCCUCCCCGCACAUCUGCCUGCCAGGGGCUUUGCCUGGUUUGCAGGUGACCAGCAGUGAAGCGUGGAGCUGUGUGCACCCAUUUCAGCGAACCUGCUGCUGCCCUGCUCCCAUCAGGUUUUCCAAGAGAAAAGCAAAUUACAUGUAAAUAAGGGUUGACUCAUGAGAGUUGUCCUGGGUCAAGUCAACGGACUGUGUAACUUGCAUCCUGCCUCUCCCAGUGUCUGUCUGCCAAGAGCUGACAUAGGAAAGGCCAAACAAGCAGUACUUGCUCUCCCAAAUAUUUCCCAGCCUCCUGAGAUUUGUGGCUCAGGGAUUUCCUGCAUGCCAUCAUCCUGGGGGGAAUUUUUCUUCCAAGAAUUUAUCCAGUUCCUCUGAAAAUACUCUUUUGUUUAUAUGGUAUUUAUUUAUAGGGUUUGAGCAAAAGAGAAAUGGCUUCUUGUUAGUGUUUCCUCUGGCUGAGGCCAUUUUCACAUCCAAGGAAAGGCAGCCCUGUCCAAACAGCAAAGCGCUGCUCCACAACCUGCAGCCUAGAGACCAGCAGGGGAUCUGUAAGAUAUCACGAAGGAGUCUACAGAACCAUACGCAGACACUCACAGGCAUGCAAGCGUGAAAACAGGCAAAGACAGUGACAGUCACAAAUGGCUGUUGGAAGUUUAGCCUAAUUUUUUUUUUUCAUUGUGAAUUCAAACCACUAAAUGAAUACUAUACAAAAUGGGGUUUAGUGGGUUUUCUUUUUUUAGGGGGGUAGGUGGUUCUUCUGUAUGAAUGAGCUCAAACGCACUGCUUGGGAGGAUCUAGCUCAAAGCUCUGGGUGCUUUACCUUUUCAACCUUAUUUUGUGAAUGUGUGCAGGAGUUUGUAUGGUUAAAACAAGCGUAAGUCUUGCAUUGAAACAGGAAUGUCUACACAAAAAGAAUUACCAUGUUACGAAUCUUUUUAUUGCAAUGUGAUUCCCUCUGUAGGCAAACUGUCGUCCUGAUUUGCAGUGUUAGAGCUGCCGCAUCACGUUAAUCCCUUUCAUAAAUCUGUUGAUCUCAACGGACCUGCAUCGCUCUUCGUCCUUGUUUCCCAGGUGGGCCAUGUGGAUCACAACACAUCCCUUCCCGUCCCCCAGGGCCCUGGGGGACCAGUGAGUUAGCGCUCACCCAGGGCCCUCAGGAACACACACAGUGCCGAGGACAGACGCUACGUUUUGUUACAAAACAAAGAAUGCUCUGGCGGCAGCCAUGAGAAGCGGCACCUGCAAGGCCAGUUUCCUGGAGCACCGUCCCUUUAAGUGAAUCAGGUAUUACAAGAGCCCCGGUAUUUGGCUGCUGGGUUUUACCAGAGGCUGCAGGGGGCAGUUAGAGAGAGACAGAUUUUUAUGGCUGUCUGCAUUCCUUUCUAACAAUAUUCCCAUCUCAGCGGACUGCUGACUUUUGGGAUCCCGUUGGAUGACAAGUGCUGCAUGGACAUGUGAGACCAAUGGUUUGGUUUUCCUCUCCAUUCCUAGAGCAGAAAGGGUGGGUUACAGCACUAAAAUCCUUAGAGAUAGGUUUUGUCUGUCUCCAAAUACUGACGCUGAGAUGCCAAACUGGCUGCUGGUGUUUGCAAUGCGGUGCUUGCUAGGAAAAACCUGUAUCAUGCAUACGACCAUGGACUCUCAUAGCUCGCUGCGCUGCAGACAGGAGUGUAAGUGAGGAAGGGGAUCUAAUCAAAGGGUCAGAGAUUUGCAGGCUUCAUCAUAAAUGUCAGGAUGUUUGGUUUUUUUCUUAAAGCCUGUGUUUCUGGAGUCAUGUGAUUAUAUAGGAAUCUCACCUUUAGGAUGCCCCCAGCAAUUUCUGACCUCCAGAGGCAAAACCCAAAAAAAAACAGAAAAGAAGAAAAGAGCAACCCAAGAGACCCCAGCUCUGACAGUUUUGAGUAUCUCCUGGUGUGAAAUGCAACGCCAAGCAUUCAGGGGCCUGGCUUGUGACUUCAGGGCACCACACAGAACUGUCUUUUCCUUUCUGGGACAUUUUGCAUUAGGUUUUUCUGAAAGCCAGAGGGAAGCAGGUCAAACUCCUGCUACCAGGAAGCCAUAAGAUAUCACUUCAGUGUCACAGGGCCAAAUGCUUCCCCGCACAUUGAGCUGACCGUACCCUGAGCACUAAAUCUUCCAGACUGUGUUGCUUUGGGCUCCAUUUCUGACACAUGCUUGAGAUGCCUUCCUACAAGAUUUCCACCCCACUAAGCACUUCAUAAAGGGUGAGAAAAUGUUGGACAUAUAUAGGGAACAUUAUUGCUUAUAGCCUCUAGGGGAGUCAGAACUGUUCUUGCUCAAGUCUGGAUUUGUUGGUGGGGGAGACUUUGUAUUAUCUGGCUUUUGAUACUGGACAGCUUGAGAGUUUUGUAACAAAAACCCAUUCAGUGCUCGGUUAUGCUGUCUAUAUUGAUGAUCCACUUCUUACAUGCCGCUGUACAUAAUCAGUAUGGCUGGUAUGACCCUGUUUGCCUUUAGGCAACAGGCUACAGGCAACAACUGCUAUGGCUCAGCUGCACCUCCUUGCUUAUGUGAGUGAUCAUCCCAUUGACAUCGGUGAGACUACGCCAACGGGAAAGGGAUGCAAGACCGUGCACCCCACAUCUAACUGAGCGUCAUAUUGUCUAUUCUUUCUACUGAAUAAAUCAGAGGGUUUAUCUUCCUGUC